AUAGAAUAGAAAACAAUUGCAAACAAUACAACAAAUAGAGAAAAAUAUGCAAAUAUUGAUAGAAUAGAAAACAAUUGCAAACAAUACAACAGAUAGAGAAAAAUAUGCAAAAAAAUGAUAGAAUAGAAAAAAAUUGCAAACAAUACAACAGAUAGAGAAAAAUAUGCAAAAAAAUGAUAGAAUAGAAAACAAUUGCAAACAAUACAACAGAUAGAGAAAAAUAUGCAAACAUUGAUAGAAUAGAAAUCAAUUGCAAACAAAACAACAGAUAGAGAAAAAUAUGCAAACAGUGAUAGAAUAGAGAACAAUGGCAAACAAUAAAACAAAAAGAGAAAAAUAUGCAAACAUUGAUAGAAUAGAGAACAAUUGCAAACAAUACAAC
rnacentral:lncRNA from 1 species